rnacentral:rRNA from 1 species
CUAGCCUACGGGGGGCAGCAGUGGGGAAUAUUGCACAAUGGGGGAAACCCUGAUGCAGCGACGCCGUGUGAGUGAAGAAGUAUCUCGGUACGUAAAGCUCUAUCAGCAGGGAAGAAAAAAAGUCUUUGGCUUUGGACGGUACCUGACUAAGAAGCCCCGGCUAACUACGUGCCAGCAGCCGCGGUAAUACGUAGGGGGCAAGCGUUAUCCGGAUUUACUGGGUGUAAAGGGGGCGUAGACGGCAGCGCAAGUCUGAAGUGAAAGCCCGUGGCUCACCCGCGGAACUGCUUUGGAAACUGUUAAGU